UAGCUUGCUAGGGGGAUUAGUGGCGAACGGGUGAGUAAUAUAUCGGAACGUGCCUUGUAAUGGGGGAUAACUAGUCGAAAGAUUAGCUAAUACCGCAUACGCCCUGAGGGGGAAAGUAGGGGAUCUUCGGACCUUACGUUAUAAGAGCGGCCGAUAUCUGAUUAGCUAGUUGGUGGGGUAAUGGCCUACCAAGGCUUCGAUCAGUAGCUGGUCUGAGAGGACGACCAGCCACACUGGAACUGAGACACGGUCCAGACUCCUACGGGAGGCAGCAGUGGGGAAUUUUGGACAAUGGGCGCAAGCCUGAUCCAGCCAUUCCGCGUGAGUGAAGAAGGCCUUCGGGUUGUAAAGCUCUUUCGCAAGGGAAGAAAACUUACUUUCUAAUAAAGAGUGAGGCUGACGGUACCUUGAUAAGAAGCACCGGCUAACUACGUGCCAGCAGCCGCGGUAAUACGUAGGGUGCGAGCGUUAAUCGGAAUUACUGGGCGUAAAGCGUGCGCAGGCGGUUUGGCAAGUCAGAUGUGAAAUCCCCGAGCUCAACUUGGGAACUGCGUUUGAAACUGCCAGACUAGAGUAUGUCAGAGGGGGGUAGAAUUCCACGUGUAGCAGUGA
rnacentral:rRNA from 1 species